rnacentral:rRNA from 1 species
UACGUAGGGGGCGGGCGUUGUCCGGAGUUACUGGGCGUAAAGCGCUUGUAGGCGGUCCACCAAGUUUGGGGUGACAGUUGCCGACUUAAUCGGCAAAGUGCCUCAAAGACUGGCGGACUUGAGGGCCACAGAGGGACAUGGAACUCCAGGUGUAGUGGUGAAAUGCGUAGAUAUCUGGAAGAACACCAAAGGCGAAGGCAGUGUCCUGGGUGGUCGCUGACGCUGAGAGGCGAAAGCCAGGGGAGCGAACGGG